rnacentral:rRNA from 1 species
UACGGGGGGGGCAAGCGUUGCUCGGAAUGACUGGGCGUAAAGGGCGCGUAGGCGGCUCAUACAGUCAGAUGUGAAAUUCCUGGGCUUAACCUGGGGGCUGCAUUUGAUACGUGUGGGCUUGAGUGGGGAAGAGGGUCGUGGAAUUCCCAGUGUAGAGGUGAAAUUCGUAGAUAUUGGGAAGAACACCGGUGGCGAAGGCGGCGACCUGGUCCUUGACUGACGCUGAGGCGCGAAAGCGUGGGGAGCAAACAGG